rnacentral:rRNA from 1 species
AGAGUUGAUCCUGGCUCAGAAUGAACGCUGGCGGCGUGCUUAACACAUGCAAGUCGCACGAGAACUCUUUAAGCUUGCUUAAAGAUAGUAAAGUGGCGCACGGGUGAGUAACGCGUGGGCAAUCUACCUCCGAAUUGGGGAUAACUCCGCGAAAGCGGGGCUAAUACCGAAUAAUAUCCCGAGAACUUUGGCUUUUGGGAUCAAAGGUGGCCUCUAUAUGUAAGCUACUGUUUGGAGAUGAGCCCGCGUACCAUUAGCUUGUUGGUAGGGUAAUGGCCUACCAAGGCGACGAUGGUUAGCUGGUCUGAGAGGAUGAUCAGGCCACACUGGAACUGACACACGGUCCAGACUCCUACGGGAGGCAGCAGUGAGGAAUUUUGCGCAAUGGGGGAAACCCUGACGCAGCAACGCCGCGUGAGUGAUGAAGGCUUUCGAGUCGUAAGCUCUGUCAAGUGAGAAGAACCUGUCCCGCGUUAAUACCGCGGGAUACUGACGGUAUCACUGAAGGAAGCACCGGCUAACUCCGUGCCAGCAGCCGCGGUAAUACGGGGGGUGCAAGCGUUAUUCGGAAUCAUUGGGCGUAAAGGGCGCGCAGGCGGUCUUUUAAGUCAGAUGUGAAAGCCCGGGGCUCAACCCCGGAAGUGCAUUUGAAACUGAGAGACUUGAGUAUGGGAGAGGGAAGUGGAAUUCCUGGUGUAGAGGUGAAAUUCGUAGAUAUCAGGAGGAACACCGGUGGCAAAGGCGACUUCCUGGACCAAUACUGACGCUGAGGCGCGAAGGCGUGGGGAGCAAACAGGAUUAGAUACCCUGGUAGUCCACGCAGUAAACGGUGAACACUAGGUGUAGCGGGUAUUGACCCCUGCUGUGCCGUAGCUAACGCAUUAAGUGUUCCGCCUGGGGAGUACGACCGCAAGGUUAAAACUCAAAGGAAUUGACGGG